rnacentral:lncRNA from 1 species
AAAAGGCGAUGAACUCAUGCGAUCCAAAGGCCAUGGUUGCGCCUUAAAUCGCUGUAAGAACCAAUAAAAAAAAAAGGUAACCAAGCAAGUCUCACCGAUCGUCAGAUUGGAAUAUAAUCUGCGUGGGGACAGAGCGGCUAGUGGGUGGUGUUAACGUUCGUGCUGUAAAGGAAGAAAAGCCGCUUUACUUGAACAACUUGGCACCAUCCUUGCCCAUGUCAAACUCGCUCGUCUGCUUGUCUUGGUCCCUAGCUCUUUUCUCUGAACGUCCUGUCACCUCACCACUUUGUUUUGGACUUCUGGUCAUGAAAAAGGUUGAGGACAAGGGCAUAAGGCGUGUGGCGACCACGCUCCCCUACCGGCUUAGCUUGGCUGUGGUGGCCCGCCACCUAGCUACAAACCAAUAAUGCAGUUGAUCUUGAUCCGUAUCUUUUGAUCUGCACCUUGAUUUUGACAUCUCCUUUUCUUGGUAUUUCUUAUUAGUAUUUGUAGAUCUAUCACUUAUGUGGUGUUCGCGGCAUGUAUGCACUCUUUUUAGCUGUAUGUAAUCCACAAAGAUAUCGGGUUUGGGGGGUCAAUACACGCUACAAAGAGAUAAGCAAGCCUCCAAAUGUAAGUAUAAUUCAACACACUGUGACCCUCUUACCCCCAGUCAUAGCUUAUCUUUUUGUUGAUGAAAUGUCGUAAUAGUUAUUCAGAUGAUACAAGCAAAAUAACAAUAAUCCUCCAUGCCUAUCUAAAGGUAGCCACCGAAUACCACUUGCACUACUCCAUUCAGAAAUUCGCAUUCGAUCACCUAAACGGUUGUCUCUGCCCCCCAUAACCCCCAC